GCUAGGCUUUGGUCUGACGGCUUGAGUUCUGUGAUGUUUUCUCAAUAUACACAGGGCAAGUGAUCUAUAGGGGCUGUGAGAUACAAGCUCUCUGCUGAAGAGAGGUCACUGCAUGGCAAUAAUGGACAAACGGACCCUGAAAGGACAGUGUUUAUGUGCUUGGAGGUAAAGUGGUGGUGGGAAUAGCGCAUGUGUUCACGGGCAUGACGGGAAGAGUGCUCGGAAGGCUUUAAUGAUGCACAUGGAGUCUUGCUGGUCGCUGGUUCCCAUCAGGAAUCAAGAGGGGCAACGUGUCUGCCCAUCCAUGUAUCAAUUUUUAGCAUACUCCUUUUUCCUGAAUGAAUAUGCAAGACUGUCAAACAGGGAGAAACUGACGUGCUCCGGUCUACAAGACUCCACCUGCUGUGGACUGUGUCUACAUCUUCGGCUAAAUAUAUCAGAAACUCAA